rnacentral:tRNA from 1 species
GGGUCUGUAGCUCAGUUGGUUAGAGCGCACGCCUGAUAAGCGUGAGGUCGGAAGUUCAAGUCUUCCCAGACCCA